CGAUGAAUGCCGCACCCUAAAAGAAAAGAUUCAAACCCUGAUUGAUACAAAAGUCAUAUAAGCAAAAGAAGCCACACCAAAUGUCCGCAACAACCCCCUCCCAGAUCAUAGGGGUGAAGGGGUAAAUGUGAUAGAGACUGAUGAAGAAUGGGAUCUUGAGGGGUCAUCGGGCUUAUUCGGGAAGGUGAUGACCCUAUCCGAAUGCUGCACCCUAGAUGGCGAAAGUCCAGUAGCCGAAAGCAUCACUAGCUUAUGCUCUGACCCGAGUAGCAUGGGGCAUGUGGAUCCCGUGUGAAUAAACAAGGACCACUUUGCAAGGCUAAAUACUCCUAGGUGACCGAUAGCGAAGUAGUACCGUGAGGGAAGGGUGAAAAGAACCCCCAUAGGGGAGUGAAAUAGAACAUGAAACCG
rfam:Nicotiana attenuata strain TT chromosome 4, whole genome shotgun sequence.